rnacentral:rRNA from 1 species
ACGCUGGCGGCAGGCCUAACACAUGCAAGUCGAGCGAGACCUUCGGGUCUAGCGGCGGACGGGUGAGUAACGCGUGGGAAUGUGCCCUUCUCUACGGAAUAGUCCCGGGAAACUGGGUUUAAUACCGUAUACGCCCUUCGGGGGAAAGAUUUAUCGGAGAAGGAUCAGCCCGCGUCUGAUUAGGUAGUUGGUGGGGUAAUGGCCUACCAAGCCUACGAUCAGUAGCUGGUUUUAGAGGAUGAUCAGCCACACUGGGACUGAGACACGGCCCAGACUCCUACGGGAGGCAGCAGUGGGGAAUCUUAGACAAUGGGCGCAAGCCUGAUCUAGCCAUGCCGCGUGAGUGAUGAAGGCCUUAGGGUCGUAAAACUCUUUCGCCAGGGAUGAUAAUGACAGUACCUGGUAAAGAAGCCCCGGCUAACUCCGUGCCAGCAGCCGCGGUAAUACGGAGGGGGCUAGCGUUGUUCGGAAUUACUGGGCGUAAAGCGCGCGUAGGCGGACUAUUAAGUCAGGGGUGAAAUCCCGGGGCUCAACCCCGGAACUGCCCUUGAUACUGGUAGUCUUGAGUUCGAGAGAGGUGAGUGGAAUUCCGAGUGUAGAGGUGAAAUUCGUAGAUAUUCGGAGGAACACCAGUGGCGAAGGCGGCUCACUGGCUCGAUACUGACGCUGAGGUGCGAAAGUGUGGGGAGCAAACAGGAUUAGAUACCCUGGUAGUCCACACCGUAAACGAUGAAUGCCAGUCGUCGGCAAGCAUGCUUUGUCGGUGACACACCUAACGGAUUAAGCAUUCCCGCCUGGGGGAUUCCNGUCCCAAGAAUUAAAACUCAAAGGAAUUGGCGGGGGCCCGCACAAGCCGGUGGAGCCUGUGGUUUAAUUCGAAGCAACGCGCA